rnacentral:lncRNA from 1 species
CUAUUAAACAUGUAUUGGUCGCACUGUCCAGUCCCUCCCCUUUUAAAACUACUGUAUUCUUUAUUGAAGAUUAGUAAGAAGUAGUACAUGGAGGAGGUUUGUCGGUUUUUAAAAACUAAUAAAAAGAAAUAGUGUCACAGCUCAGCCCACACUCUCCUUCUCCUACCGAUGGAUGGAUGGAUGGAUGGAUGGAUGGAUGGAUGGAUGGAUGGAUGGAUGGAUGGAUGGAUGGAUGGAUGGAUGGAUAGCAAAAUCUACCAAAAAUCCAAACAUCUCACAAAGUAUGAAGUCCAUGGAAAUUCACAUUUAAUCUGUAAGGUGCACCUAUGUGUCUUCAUUGUUUUUUGCCACAACAGUUUAAUGCCUACGUUUCUGGAAAAAUAUGUAUGGAAACAAUCUCUCCAUAGACAAACAAGCAUAAAAACUAUUUCCCACAACAAAAUAAAUAGAAUAAAAAGAGAAUUAAAUUAAAACAAGAAUAUUUUCCCAGAAUGGCAGAUAAGGUGUCCCAGUAAAAAUGACAGUCUUAAGCUUUCGUGGACAUUUAUCCCAAGACGUGGACUACAGGCUUAUUGCCGAAUAUCGCGUGCCGCACGAUUCGUCGCUGUUCUUUAACAAUGACGAAAAUCUGGACAGGAAAAAAAACUACAACCCCCAGUGUUCCUAGCGCGCACGACGUAAGAAGGCGGUGUUUUCUCGCCUCGAUGUAAGGCUGAAGGGAAAGGCGUCCAAUCAGGUCGGGGGAGGGGGGAGCGACCCGACUACCGAAAGCAAUGCCAAGAUCCUGCGUGCUGCGGCCAUGGCGGAGACGGCGGACUCGCGCUCCAGCAGCGACUCGGAGCAGGAAGGAACCCCAAAGAAGCCUCUCCUCAAGCGCCGCCGGAUCUUCACGGAUAGCGCUGUCUCGGCGGUCCCAGUUUACUCCAACAAGGUUCAGAACAGUCUCCAGCUGUUCCCUGAGUCUCUGAAACUGCCGAUUGAAGUCCCAGAGCUGCCCUCUGAGUUCCAAGUACUUGGUGUAUCAGAUGAAGAGGGGGAAACUCCAGCAAAGCAAGUGGAGCAAGAAACAAGGUCUGGUUUUUUUCUCUUCCUCAUCUGCUCAAGCCAAAUGGUCUGGAGUCCCCAGUCAAACCAUGCCUAUAUCUAUUCUCUCUUCAGCAGAUAUCAAGAUCAAUCACCUUCACCUCCACCUCCACCACGGCCAAGGAGAAACUGCCGUAGAGCCAGGUAG